rnacentral:rRNA from 1 species
AACGAACGCUGGCGGCAGGCUUAACACAUGCAAGUCGAACGGAUCCUUCGGGAUUAGUGGCAGACGGGUGAGUAACGCGUGGGAACGUACCCUUUGCUACGGAAUAACUCAGGGAAACUUGAGCUAAUACCGUAUGUGCCCUACGGGGGAAAGACUUAUCGGCAAAGGAUCGGCCCGCGUUGGAUUAGCUAGUUGGUGGGGUAAUGGCCUACCAAGGCGACGAUCCAUAGCUGGUCUGAGAGGAUGAUCAGCCACACUGGGACUGAGACACGGCCCAGACUCCUACGGGAGGCAGCAGUGGGGAAUAUUGGACAAUGGGCGCAAGCCUGAUCCAGCCAUGCCGCGUGAGUGAUGAAGGUCUUAGGAUUGUAAAGCUCUUUCACCGGUGAAGAUAAUGACGGUAGCCGGAGAAGAAGCCCCGGCUAACUUCGU